CACCCCCGCCUGCCACACACCACCGCCCGGCCGGCGGCAGAGGCGCGAGCCCCGGGGCGGAACCCGAAGGGCCGACCCUCUCGCCAGCCAGCCGUGUCCAUGCCUCUUCUGGCGCGUUUUAGGUCCGGCCCGGGAGAGCCGGGCCUCCCCACGUCCUACUACAACCGGCAAGUGUUUCUGCGUUUUGUUCUUCCUCAAGACGUAUUACUUUUUGAAACUGCUUUAUUGGGGAAGAGUGAUUUACAGUGUCGCCCUAGCCUCGCGGGUUUACAGCAAAGUGAAUCAUACACCUACGUGGUCUUAGGACCUGUUGUCAGUGGUGCUCCCAAGCUCUGACCAGGAGACCCUCGUGUGUUCUGCUCGCUGAAAGUGGCAGAAAGCACCAAGUGCCCCCUAAGCCGGCUUGCAAGAAAAUGGCCUGAGAUAUCUACUCUCCUUUGCAGCCCUCCUACCCCCAACCGCACCCACUCAGAGCAGCUCCAGUCCAAUUGGUCUGUGACAGAAAAAGAGGCUCCCAAAGGGGCAGAAGGGGACUCCUGUUGCAGCCCCUCCUCCAGCUUCAGAAAGUCAAGAACAUUUUGGUUCCAGAGGCAAGAACCCCAACGAAAAUUCGCUGAUGCGGAAAAGGGGAAAGGGAACAUGCACAUAACAGAGAGGUCCAAUAUGCGUGGAUUUAAUGGCUCCGUGUUAUGAGAAGGCUUUAACGCCUCCGUCUUCCCAUGCGGCUGCCAGGAUGACUGCGUAUGAGCUCCGUAUGCCGUCCCCGCAUCUUCACGGCUCACUCAGAUAUGAAAUCUCUGGAAGACAGUGACCAGGGAGGCUCCAGUCAAUGCCAGCUGCUCAGCCGAUGCCUGGGAGUAAAGCUAAGUAUUAUGGUGGGCCCAGACCUAUACCAAGCUCGGUGGCCUGGGGUUUGGGCACCUAUGAUGGGGAGCUUUAAUGGGAUGCCACAUCUUGAAGUACUUUCCCCGGAGACAAGGAUGUGGGCAGGCUGCCCCCCAAAUCAACAUGUCCUAUGGUUUCAGCACUGACAAUCCCCCACGCUUUCACUUGUUGUUGUUGUUGCCGUUCUCUCUUGUAUUAUUUUGUUCCACUUUGGAUGGAGCCAGGAUUCUAAACCCUUCUCCUCAUGCGCCCUUCUUUCCUGGAACUUGUUUAACUCAAAAUGUUCUGUCUUUCAGAUCCUAUCUACAAGUUCCCUAUGAGCAAGGAUGCAAUUCAUCUGCUUCUGGGAACUUGAGCGUGCUUGAAAUUACAGGAGGUCUCCUACUUCCCGAUUGGGAGCUUUGGAUUUUAAGUUCUUCGUUCGGUAUUCGAAGCUGCAAAAAUACACAGAGGAGGACGUUUAUUUUUGGCCUGGAAGCUUCAGAAAUACUUGAAGAGCAAGGGUUUCCGGUCACAAAGAAAUUCCCUGGGCCUAGGGACAGAGAAGAAUGCCUCAGGGGAAAGCGAUGGAGAGAAAUGCAUUUUAGGCUCUGUUAAGCUCCCACUACACCUGGCCCACACCCCAAACCUAUAGGAUUUUGAGGUUUGCCAGAGGAAAUAUCAGUCUGUCCAAGACGCUUGGAAGAAUGACGCCAAGGCUAUCUGUGGAUGGCCUUCAGCUGAAACCCUGUGCAGGAACCUGCUUGCCCAGCCAGAAGCUGUGCAGUGGAUGGGAAAUGACUGAACAAAGACGAUUGGACCAACGGUCCCUCUCUGCCCCCGUUGGCACAGUCUUUUCCCAGGUGAACGAGAGAGGUAUGAACUGGCCUGGAAAAUGGCCGAAGCAGAGAGACUGGACAGAGGCACACCAUGGGAUGGUGACAGGUUGCCUGACAAGCAGAACCAGCUAGAGCCUCAAAAGUCAUCAUGGGUGCCAUUGUGGGGCCAACCACUGGAGACCCGUGGGGAGAUAAAGACAGAGCAGCAGAUGACUCAUAACCGGGCACACCCACCCGCCCUGGUGUCUUCAUGGACAUUACCUGCCGCGUGAGGAGGAAGGACCCUGAAAUGCCUAAGUGUAGCCUCAGUUGACUAGAAUUCAGCAGAGUCAGAGCGAGAGAUAGGGAUUCAGGUGAAAGACGUUCAAGAUUCAGAAGAAGAUAGACGUUUCUCAGAUGUGCGGUACACAGGAGUGAUAGCCAGAGCACACAAGCAAAGCAGACACCAGGGGAACUACGCAGUAACCAACGUGAAAAUGAAUAAGGGUGACUACAGAGCAGGCACUCUGGCUGCUGUGAGAGACGGUCAGCGUGCUUCCCAGUGGCAUCUGGCUUCUUGAUCAUCUUCUCAAGCCGACAGCUCCAUGUCCGGGAAUGUACUGGACCAGGCAAGACAAGGCUGAAGGCCCAAGGGUGAAAGUCAGGCUGGUGUCUGGGUGUAUGCUGCUUUACUGCCUAGUCAUCGUGAAAAUUGCGAAGCUCUGAGGUGGAUGGUGGCCCUGGGGUCAUCUGAGGCGUGCAUGGCAUCAAUCCCCAGUGGCCUUUAACCGCGGCCUGCC
ensembl:lncRNA